rnacentral:lncRNA from 1 species
UCCCGUAAACCUCUGCUUCUCUAUAACUGUUUGGGCCAUGACUGUUGGUCCCUAUCUCAAGAUCCCUGUAGUUGAGAUACGUGUGCCUAGGAUUCUUGGUGACGAAAGGAGCCAUGUAGCUGUAGAAGCUUCUGGUCUUUUCCAUGAAACUGUUCUCCGCUUCUAUCCCCGCAUCUUUCCAGUUCAUCGAGUGCUGCACCUUGAAUAGCCUUUUCCUGUGAGGGAAGGGGGUCUUCGUGGUAGGCACUUGGCACAUUAUCCCUCCAUAGGGAUUGAAGACGAGCCCUAGUUUCCCAGUCUCCAUCAACUUGGUAAACAGGAAACCUAGACCUUCUUUGCUGAUCUCUGUCUCCACGUAAUCCGAUUUCCUUUUCAAGAAAGACGCUGAAUCAGGCUCUCUAUCCAGCAGAAUCUCGGGUUUAAUCAGCGUGGCGUUAUCGCUGUUGGCCCACCACAUCACCGACUGUAUCCACGUCAUCUCCGUGCAGUUCUCCGUCCUCAGACCAAGCUCCGGGAAUUCUUUGCCCAGCAGAGACAAGAGGUCGCUCUGUCUCCCCAAGAACAAGGCCACCACCGACGCUCGAACCGUCUGAGUUGUGUUCAUCGUCUUGGGUUGCAAGAGUAGCCUCAUGAACAGAUCCGGGCUUGUCUUGGGAGCAACAAACUGCCAUUUAUGGACCAUGUCUAGUGCAUUUUCCUCUAGCGUUUUCUCCACUCUGAACACAGUCACUGUCGGAGGAACAGCAACGAGUUUUAUCUUGAAGGCUAAGAUCACACCGAAGCUCGCACCUCCCCCGCCUCCAAUCGCCCAGAAAAGAUCCUCUCCCAUCGAUUUCCUAUCAAGAAUCCUCCCGUUCACGUCCACGAUCUUGGCGUCGGUGACGUAAUCAACGGAGAGUCCGUAUUUUCUGAUCAUGUUUCCGUAGCCUCCGCCGCUAAUGUGACCUCCAGCGCCGACGGUGGGACAGACUCCGGCGGGAAAACCAUGAGAUUUGCUUUUCUGCCAAAUGCUGUAAUAAACCUCGCCCAGAGUAGCGCCGGCUCCGACCCAUGCAGAGCCGCCGCCGUCGGCCAUAUCGACCGUGAUGUUACGGAGAUACGACAUGUCGAGGACGAAGUAAGGGCGGUUAGAUAUGUAGGAAACGCCAUCGUAGUCGUGGCCGCCGCUACGAGUCUUGAGCUGGAAGUUGAGAGAUUUGGUACAGAGGACGGUGGCCUGGACGUGGGCCUCCGAACGCGCCGCGAUUACGAUCAAAGGUUUGGGGGAUGUGGAAGUGUUGUAACGCGCGUUUCGGAUGUAGGCACGCAGCGUCGGGGUGAAACUGGCACUGCUCUGUGGCAAAACAACGUCGCAUAGCUUAUUUGGAGCUGUACAUGUUUGGUUGCUGAAACACUUGAGAAAGCUUUCGUAAAUUGGCUGAUUCGACGGGUCGACAGCGAGAGAACUUGAGGCAAGGCUAAGAAAUAUAAUUAAACAAGAGAGUUUCUUCAUCUUUUUUAUUACUAUUAAGAAACUCUCUUGUUCUAUUGUUGUUUUCUUAGCUAAUUGAAUUUCUUGUUGUACGGAGUAUUCUCAUUGGCAUAAAUAGUACACGAGUUCUUCAAAAUUUAGUCAUAGUUCCUAUCUUUAGACAUGGUUAUGACCUGCUAAUGGUCAAAGCGUGAUGUGCGGGUUUCUGAAAUUUCUUGGUUUGUGAUUCAGAGAUCUCUAUAUAGUCAAUUUUUAAGAUCAUUUUCAUUAUGUGAUGUAUGUAUAUGAAAUCUUGAUUGUUAGCAUUGUUUAAUAACAAAUAAAGUUUUGGUAGAGGGCGGAGCUACGUGACAUACGGAGGGGGCAGCUGCCCCCAAUAUUUCUUUUUAAUGAUACUUAAAUGAUCUUAUGCUAACUUCGGGCUUCUUUGGUUAUUUCUGAUGGUGCGGCUUCAUUGGCGGUUUUAAUGCUACAUUGGGUGAUACGAUGUGAAGGAUUGUGUCUUUUAAGUUUAAGGUCUAGUCUUUAUUUCUACUAGAUCUACUUUUAAAUUGUUAAAUUUUUAUUUUAAAUUUUGUGUGAAUGUUAUCAUUUACCCAAUUUUAAAAUCUUGUUACAUUUAUGUAACCAAAAAUUCAUUAUAGUAACACCACUAAAAAAUAAAGAUAAUAUAAGUAGGUUGGAAUUUUUCUUCUUUUUAUUUGUGUUGAAUUUUUGC